AACGAACAUUAAUCAUCUUCGCUCUCCUGCUGUUUGUAACAGAUAUUCCCAUCACACUCGUUUUGCAAUUCGUUUCAAUUGUUCACCAAAUGUAUAAAUACCGACGCUAAAGCCUUCCCGGAUCAGUUUUUGAUCUGGCAAUUGACCAAAAGACGACCAUGAUGCAAAGAACAUUAAUCAUUUUCACUUUCUUGCUGUUUGUAACAGCAGUACAGUCUUACUAUCCAUGGUACAGGUGUUAUAAUGAACACUAUAAUCCAUAUACGCAUUACUGUUGUAACAAUGCAGUUCACCCGAAAACGAAUAGUUUAAAUGCCUGUUGUAAUGGUAUUACACCAUACAACGCUCGGUAUGAUGGAUGUUGUGCAGGAACACUAAUCCCUUGGUGGAAAAAUACGUGUUGUGUUCGCCACCCGUGGUGGAAUUUCGAAUACUUAAUGUGCUGAGAUAAAUCCAAACUACAUAUUAGUUCAUUCUGAUUCUGUAAUUGUCCAAGAAUGUAAUGCAACAAAUAGCUCGAUCCUGUCUCGGUAAUUCAAUCACGUAUAUAGUUACCUUCAUUAUAUAGAUUAGUAAUUU